rnacentral:hammerhead_ribozyme from 1 species
AGUUAGCUGACGAGUCCCAAAUAGGACGAAAUGCCCGUUGUCCUGGAU